CUACGGGCUGCACCAGUGGGGAAUAUUGGACAAUGGGCGAAAGCCUGAUCCAGCAAUGCCGCGUGAGUGAUGAAGGCCUUAGGGUUGUAAAGCUCUUUUACCCGGGAUGAUAAUGACAGUACCGGGAGAAUAAGCUCCGGCUAACUCCGUGCCAGCAGGCCGCGGUAAUACGGAGGGAGCUAGCGUUGUUCGGAAUUACUGGGCGUAAAGCGCACGUAGGCGGCUUUGUAAGUUAGGGGUGAAAGCCUGGAGCUCAACUCCAGAAUUGCCUUUAAGACUGCAUCGCUCGAAUCCAGGAGAGGUGAGUGGAAUUCCGAGUGUAGAGGUGAAAUUCGUAGAUAUUCGGAAGAACACCAGUGGCGAAGGCGGCUCACUGGACUGGUAUUGACGCUGAGGUGCGAAAGCGUGGGGAGCAAACAGGAUUAGAUACCCCAGUAGUC
rnacentral:rRNA from 1 species